AUUGCACACAAAACCCAAAAGUCAUUAUAUUUCACUUUAAUGCCUUUUUUUAUAGUGUGCAGAAAUGAACAGUACCUUGUCGCCUUUUGAAACCACUUGUGUUUCACAAAGUGAAAUUGAAGGUACUACAUGG